GGGUUGUGAGGUUAAGCGACUAAGCGUACACGGUGGAUGCCCUGGCAGUCAGAGGCGAUGAAGGACGUGCUAAUCUGCGAUAAGCGUCGGUAAGGUGAUAUGAACCGUUAUAACCGGCGAUUUCCGAAUGGGGAAACCCAGUGUGUUUCGACACACUAUCAUUAACUGAAUCCAUAGGUUAAUGAGGCGAACCGGGGGAACUGAAACAUCUAAGUACCCCGAGGAAAAGAAAUCAACCGAGAUUCCCCCAGUAGCGGCGAGCGAACGGGGAGCAGCCCAGAGCCUGAAUCAGUGUGUGUGUUAGUGGAAGCGUCUGGAAAGGCGCGCGAUACAGGGUGACAGCCCCGUACACAAAAAUGCACAUAUUGUGAGCUCGAUGAGUAGGGCGGGACACGUGGUAUCCUGUCUGAAUAUGGGGGGACCAUCCUCCAAGGCUAAAUACUCCUGACUGACCGAUAGUGAACCAGUACCGUGAGGGAAAGGCGAAAAGAACCCCGGCGAGGGGAGUGAAAAAGAACCUGAAACCGUGUACGUACAAGCAGUGGGAGCACGCUUAGGCGUGUGACUGCGUACCUUUUGUAUAAUGGGUCAGCGACUUAUAUUCUGUAGCAAGGUUAACCGAAUAGGGGAGCCGAAGGGAAACCGAGUCUUAACUGGGCGUUAAGUUGCAGGGUAUAGACCCGAAACCCGGUGAUCUAGCCAUGGGCAGGUUGAAGGUUGGGUAACACUAACUGGAGGACCGAACCGACUAAUGUUGAAAAAUUAGCGGAUGACUUGUGGCUGGGGGUGAAAGGCCAAUCAAACCGGGAGAUAGCUGGUUCUCCCCGAAAGCUAUUUAGGUAGCGCCUCGUGAAUUCAUCUCCGGGGGUAGAGCACUGUUUCGGCAAGGGGGUCAUCCCGACUUACCAACCCGAUGCAAACUGCGAAUACCGGAGAAUGUUAUCACGGGAGACACACGGCGGGUGCUAACGUCCGUCGUGAAGAGGGAAACAACCCAGACCGCCAGCUAAGGUCCCAAAGUCAUGGUUAAGUGGGAAACGAUGUGGGAAGGCCCAGACAGCCAGGAUGUUGGCUUAGAAGCAGCCAUCAUUUAAAGAAAGCGUAAUAGCUCACUGGUCGAGUCGGCCUGCGCGGAAGAUGUAACGGGGCUAAACCAUGCACCGAAGCUGCGGCAGCGACGCUUAUGCGUUGUUGGGUAGGGGAGCGUUCUGUAAGCCUGUGAAGGUGUGCUGUGAGGCAUGCUGGAGGUAUCAGAAGUGCGAAUGCUGACAUAAGUAACGAUAAAGCGGGUGAAAAGCCCGCUCGCCGGAAGACCAAGGGUUCCUGUCCAACGUUAAUCGGGGCAGGGUGAGUCGACCCCUAAGGCGAGGCCGAAAGGCGUAGUCGAUGGGAAACAGGUUAAUAUUCCUGUACUUGGUGUUACUGCGAAGGGGGGACGGAGAAGGCUAUGUUGGCCGGGCGACGGUUGUCCCGGUUUAAGCGUGUAGGCUGGUUUUCCAGGCAAAUCCGGAAAAUCAAGGCUGAGGCGUGAUGACGAGGCACUACGGUGCUGAAGCAACAAAUGCCCUGCUUCCAGGAAAAGCCUCUAAGCAUCAGGUAACAUCAAAUCGUACCCCAAACCGACACAGGUGGUCAGGUAGAGAAUACCAAGGCGCUUGAGAGAACUCGGGUGAAGGAACUAGGCAAAAUGGUGCCGUAACUUCGGGAGAAGGCACGCUGAUAUGUAGGUGAAGCGACUUGCUCGUGGAGCUGAAAUCAGUCGAAGAUACCAGCUGGCUGCAACUGUUUAUUAAAAACACAGCACUGUGCAAACACGAAAGUGGACGUAUACGGUGUGACGCCUGCCCGGUGCCGGAAGGUUAAUUGAUGGGGUCAGCGCAAGCGAAGCUCUUGAUCGAAGCCCCGGUAAACGGCGGCCGUAACUAUAACGGUCCUAAGGUAGCGAAAUUCCUUGUCGGGUAAGUUCCGACCUGCACGAAUGGCGUAAUGAUGGCCAGGCUGUCUCCACCCGAGACUCAGUGAAAUUGAACUCGCUGUGAAGAUGCAGUGUACCCGCGGCAAGACGGAAAGACCCCGUGAACCUUUACUAUAGCUUGACACUGAACAUUGAGCCUUGAUGUGUAGGAUAGGUGGGAGGCUUUGAAGUGUGGACGCCAGUCUGCAUGGAGCCGACCUUGAAAUACCACCCUUUAAUGUUUGAUGUUCUAACGUGGACCCGUAAUCCGGGUUGCGGACAGUGUCUGGUGGGUAGUUUGACUGGGGCGGUCUCCUCCUAAAGAGUAACGGAGGAGCACGAAGGUUGGCUAAUCCUGGUCGGACAUCAGGAGGUUAGUGCAAUGGCAUAAGCCAGCUUGACUGCGAGCGUGACGGCGCGAGCAGGUGCGAAAGCAGGUCAUAGUGAUCCGGUGGUUCUGAAUGGAAGGGCCAUCGCUCAACGGAUAAAAGGUACUCCGGGGAUAACAGGCUGAUACCGCCCAAGAGUUCAUAUCGACGGCGGUGUUUGGCACCUCGAUGUCGGCUCAUCACAUCCUGGGGCUGAAGUAGGUCCCAAGGGUAUGGCUGUUCGCCAUUUAAAGUGGUACGCGAGCUGGGUUUAGAACGUCGUGAGACAGUUCGGUCCCUAUCUGCCGUGGGCGCUGGAGAACUGAGGGGGGCUGCUCCUAGUACGAGAGGACCGGAGUGGACGCAUCACUGGUGUUCGGGUUGUCAUGCCAAUGGCACUGCCCGGUAGCUAAAUGCGGAAGAGAUAAGUGCUGAAAGCAUCUAAGCACGAAACUUGCCCCGAGAUGAGUUCUCCCUGACUCCUUGAGAGUCCUGAAGGAACGUUGAAGACGACGACGUUGAUAGGCCGGGUGUGUAAGCGCAGCGAUGCGUUGAGCUAACCGGUACUAAUGAACCGUGAGGCUUAACCUUACAACGCCGAAGCUGUU
rnacentral:rRNA from 1 species